UGUCCAAGGAUGGGAAUCGAACCCACAGUGUUCCGCUUACCGGGCAGAUGCCAUGUCCACUAGGCUACCCUGGC